rnacentral:rRNA from 1 species
UACGGGGGGGGCAAGCGUUGUUCGGAAUUACUGGGCGUAAAGGGCGCGUAGGCGGUGCUCUAAGUCGGAUGUGAAAACUCUGGGCUCAACCCAGAGCCUGCAUCCGAAACUGGAGUGCUAGAGUUCUGGAGGGGGUAGCGGAAUUCCUGGUGUAGCGGUGAAAUGCGUAGAUAUCAGGAGGGAACACCGGUGGCGAAGGCGGGCUACCCUGGACAGAAACUGACGCUGAGGCGCGAAAGCUAGGGGAGCAAACAGG